AUUUAAUUUCUGUGAUGGGAUGGGUUCCCUAUUCCGUUACUGCCCGCUGGACCAAGAGGGGUCCCUUCAAGUUCCACUGGAGCAGACACACAAAAGCUCUUCCCCAGGGGACAACACGGGAUCGAUCUCACAUGGAUGGAGCUCAGAGAACAUUUAUAGGUCCAGCGAGCAGCUAAUCUGAACAAUGCCAAGUAUAUUCUUACGUAUCUGGGGGGUUGGACCUGAUGAUCUCUUGAGGUCCCUUCCAACCCCUACAAUUCUGUGAUUCUGUGAUAUUUAGGACAAGAAACUCUUUUUCUUUCCCUCAGCUCAGAGAAAGGCCUGGUUCAGCUUUCCAUCCAGCAGACAAACCUCCUGUUACAGGAUUAUCCUCCAGGCAGGCUGGGUGCCCACGCUGUCCCCUUCCAAGGGCUGGGUGCUUGUCCCUAUCCCGGGCUGACUGCUGCAUGUGUCCUACACAGCCAGCGAGGCUCUGGGCAGCUGGUUACUGGGCUUUCCUGCCUGAAUAUAGGAGCUUAAUUUAAUAGGCAGCUGUUGAAAAAACAAGCAGGAAAGCGACACAAUGGGGCUUGAUAAGCAGCCUCCAAACAAGCUCUGAGGAGGCAAUUACAAGAAAAUGGCUGCACCGCUGCCACGAGGAAGACGCCCCUCCAGGUGCCAGCCGCUCUGCAGCUGCUUGCCUGAGGCUGGCAGCCUCCAGAUCAAACCAUCGCUGCCUGGAAGACAUGUCUCCAUAAAGUCCUGUGAUGGUGCCUGGACGGGCCGGGAAAGCUGCUGUCAGGGCUGUAAGAGGCUGACCUGUGUAGCACUUGGCGGACCCCGUGCACACACUGGUUCCUGUCUCUCCCUCGUGCAGAUGGCCACCUAGGAGUCCGUCUGGCUGCAGCUGCAGAGAGCCCACCCCAUGCAGUCGCUCUCAUGUUACUCUUUGUCCCGCACUUCAGUGUCAGCUCCCCUAAGGAUGCUCUUCCUUUACGUUCCCAUCGUUGGCCCUUCUGCUGUCUUAGUAAUUAUUUGUGCUUGGCCCAUAUGAGCAAUCCCUCUAAGUCCCUCCUAGCUCGUCAGAGCUUCCCACACGGUUGUUGCUGAGAAAAAAAUUCACCCAAGAUAUAAAUAGCUUGACCUCUUAUCCAGAAAAAAAAAAAAAAAAAAAAAAAAAAAAAAAAAAAGUUUACUUAGGCUAUAAUGUUACACGCUAUUAAUUUGAUCUCGAGUUUUGAUUUGCAACAAGAGCAAUAACUAUUUCCUAUGCAUGAAGCGGGUGGAAGCCCACAGCCUUAUCUCCAUACAGAGGUUAUGCGAGUGCACGUGGAAGUCCAGCCACGUACAGCCAGUCAGGCUGCUGUGCUGCUUUAUGUGAAACAGGAACCCCUGGAAAAGUGAUUUAUUAAGUCGGAGCUGACAAGUGGGGAAUGAUGUUGCUUGGGAGAACAUCGUCAUACAUUGUAAAAGCAGCUGGGAUACUGAUCUUACGUGCCCGUCACCACCCGUGUCACCAGCCUGAUGAAAUUUUAUCUCCGUGGCUCAUCUGCUGGGGCUCUGCGGGAGGGAAUGCCACCCUCCGGUUCUCGGAUCGGCACCACCCAGGUAGCUGAGCAGAACAAAAUGGGUUAGUACAGGAUGGAAUAGCUCAGCAGGAAGGGCCCGCAACCGUCAUCCCGUUUAAUGCCUGACCUCUGCAGGGUUAGCUAAAAGAUGAAACCCAUUACUGAAGGUAUUGCCCAAAGGUCCCUUGGGUGCUGACAGCCACAGGGCACUGGGUGCCUCACCAGGAGCCCAUUCGGUGCCUGCCCACCCGCAUGGUUCAGGGCUUUGUCCUCACUCCCCGGUGCGCUUUGUGCUGUCCCCAUGUGCCCACGACCAGUGACCAUGGAGCAGAGACCUGCAGGACGAGCACCGGUGCCCUCCUCUGAGUGCUCCCACACCCGUUCUGCACUGCUGGGGCUGUUGGUGAAUCAUUAGUUUGGAAAAGCCCUCCAGGAUCAUCUGGUCCAUCCCCCUACCACCAAUGUGACCACUGAACCGUGUCCCCAAGCACCAGGGGACAUGGCAACCUUCCCUUGAGCACCCCCAGGGAUGGCGACUCCCCCACCUCCCCGGGCAACCCGUCCCAACGCCUGCCUGCUCUCUGAGCAGAAAUGUCUCCUCAUUUCCCACCUCAACCUCCCCUGGCACAACUUGAGGCCAUUCCCUUGUCCCAUCAUCGGUUACCUGUGAGCAGAGGCCGACCCCCAGCUCCCCACCCCACCCUUCCAGGUACCUGCAGAGAGCCCCGAGCUCUGCCCUGAGCCCCCUCUUCCCCAGCCCACCCCCCCAGCUCCCCCACCCUCUCCUCACAAUACAUAUGCCCCAUUCCAGCUCCCCCCAUACCCUCCCUGUACCCAUACCCCUUCCCUCACCCCCUACCCCCCGGUGCCAGCUCUCAGCACCACCCCAUCCCCGCCGCCCCCAUCUU
rnacentral:lncRNA from 1 species